CAGGCUCCUCUGUCCAUGAGAUUCUCCAAGCAAGAAUUCUGGAGUGGGUUGCCAUUUCUUUCUCCAGAUCUUCUUGACCCUGGGUUUGAACCCAUUUAUCCUGCAUCUCCUUCAUUGACAGUGAUGGGAUUUGGAAGAGCUUAUUUUACAAUUUUGUGGGAUUUGACAUGACAUCACCAUGUGAUUAGGCCAAAGUUGUCAUGUACAGAUGUGAGAAUUGGACCAUAAAUAAUGCUGAGCACUGAAGAAUAGAGCUUCAAAAUGUGGUGCUGGAGAAGACUCUUGAGCAUCUCUUGCAUAGCAGGGAGAUCAAACCAGUCAGUCCUAAAGGAAAUCAACCCUGAAUAUUCAUUGGAAGGACUGGUGCUGAAGCUCCAACACUUUGGCCGCACGAUGUGAAGAGACGACUCAUUGGAAAAAGAAAAAAAAAGGACUUUGUGACCUCGGUAGUACAGCUUUCACUAGCUGAGAACACCUAAAAGGGACUAAAAGUUCAAAGUUGUCUUUCUGAAACAUUCUCAGGAGCUGGCAGGUUAAAUCUUUUAUUCCUGUAGAGAAAGAAAGAGAGAGAGAAAGAAAGAAAGAGAGAAAGAAAGGAAGAGAGAAAGAAAGAAAGAGAGAAAGAAAGUAAGGAAGAAAGUGAAGUAGCUCAGUCGUGUCCGACUCUUUGCAACUCUGUGGACUGUAGCCUACCAGGCUCCUUCCUCCGUGGGAUUCUCCAGGCAAGA
ensembl:lncRNA